GAUGAGAACGUAGCGAAAUGCGAUAAGUAGUGUGAAUUGCAGAAUUUAGUGAAUCAUCGAAUCUUUGAACGCACAUUGCGCCCUAUAGUAUUCUGUAGGGCAUGCCUGUUCGAGCGUUAUUGAGACCUCAAGCUCUGCUUGGAAAUGGGCGCUUGUCUUGCCUUGCAGACUCGCCUUAAAACCAUUGGCAGCUGAUUUACAAUGUUUGGUGCACAGUACAUGAGCCCAAGUGUUGCAAUGAGUGGCCCAAAAGUAUACAAUAGAAGCUUAACCUCGGAUCAGGUAGGGAUACCCGCUGAACUUAAGCAUAUCAAUAAGCGGAGGA
rnacentral:misc_RNA from 1 species